CAUAGCAUGAGCAUUUAAUCCCAUUUUGUUUAGGACUAGGGCUUUUUUUUAUCACUCUAGUGUUUGCACUUCGAUUUCUGAAAAGCCCUAAUAGCAGUCAUUUUUCACGCAGGAGGUUCGAUUGCGAAGCUCAGUCGUGAUCUAGAUUUCUGUACCUCAGAGGUGGGCAUGAUUCUUUAUAAAAUCCCAAAUGCCGCAUAUAAAGGGUAUGCAACGUAGGAAGAGACUUUGAUUGAAUGGGAUAAGCACAUCAUCGCUCAUGAUUCAGCAUCCUGCUCAAGGCUUGUCCAGACACCUGUUUAUUAUGUAUCUUUGUAGUAUGUACAGUAUAUAAAAAGUAUGUGAUUGUGUAUCGUUGUAGUAAGUGUUGUUGUAGUAUGUAUCGUUGUAGUAUGUAUUGUGUAUUGUUUUGUAUGUAUAUUGUUUUCUUGUCUUGCAUAUACUUUUGUAGGUAAUGAAUAUGUCAAUAAAAACAAUAACAUGACAAGAAAUGAAUAUGUCAAUAAAAAGCAUCCACCAAGCGUGCCUUGAACAUGUGAGAUCAUGAAAAUCAUUACUUUCUGAGUUUAGAAAACAUGUCCCCAAUUACAUCUUCAAUCAGACAAAGGUGACAAUAUAUAUUACAUAAAUUUUCCUUGAUCAAAAGCACAGG